GAGUUUGAUCUUGGCUCAGAUUGAACGCUGGCGGCAUGCCUUACACAUGCAAGUCGAACGGCAGCACGGGUGCUUGCACCUGGUGGCGAGUGGCGAACGGGUGAGUAAUGCAUCGGAACGUACCCGGAAGUGGGGGAUAACGUAGCGAAAGUUACGCUAAUACCGCAUAUUCUGUGAGCAGGAAAGAGGGGGAUCGCAAGACCUCUCGCUUUCGGAGCGGCCGAUGUCGGAUUAGCUAGUUGGCGGGGUAAAGGCCCACCAAGGCAACGAUCCGUAGCGGGUCUGAGAGGAUGAUCCGCCACACUGGGACUGAGACACGGCCCAGACUCCUACGGGAGGCAGCAGUGGGGAAUUUU
rnacentral:rRNA from 1 species